AAAAAUGCUUGCUGGAUGGUUGUUUUUCUUCCCUUCGAGCUGCCGAUUUCUGGAGAGGUUGCACUAUAUGAAUGUGUGGUCACAGCCUCCGCUCUAUGUUGGGAGGGGAAUGCGUGAAAGCGCAUUCUCUUUCUUCAAGUACGCGAUGUUCUGGGUUCUUCUAAUAAUUGCAAAGUUGGCAUUCAGCUAUUACGUGGAGAUUCCUGGUAAAGCAUGUUUUUCCCUUUUCAAAUGAGAAGCAGAUAGCGCCUUUGGUGGUCCUACAGAAACUAUAAUGAGUGUUCGGGUGACUAAAUUCCAGUGGCAUGAAUUCUUUCCACGAGCAAAAGACAUUGGUGUUGUGAUUGCUCUCUGGGCUCCUAUUAUGCUGGUCUACUUUAUGGAUACUCAAAUAUGGUAUACCCUGUUCACCACUGUUCUUGGAGGAAUUUAUGGUUUGGUUGGUCGGCUUGGACAGAGGACAUUGCGAAUGGUUAGAUCUCGUUUUGAAUAUUUGCCCGGUGUUUUCAAUGCUCGUUUAAUUGGAAAAGAGAAGGCUGAGCCGAAGAAAGAUGGAUCAGAGGCGACCUCAUCACAAAGUAAUGCUAGGAUCCUAUCGAAAAAAGAGAAAGCAAGAUUUGCUCAAUUAUGGAACACAAUAAUUAGCAGCGUCAGAGAAGAUCUUAUUAGCAAUAGGGAGAUGAACCUUCUGCUGUUUCCAUAUUGGGUUGAUCAUGAUCUGGAAGACAUUAUCCAGUGGCCUCCAUUUUUACUAGCCCGCAAGGAUGAUUCUCGGAUAUCUCAUUAUGUAUUUGAGUUCCCCUCCCUAGCAUCUGCUUUACAUAUUUUACAGAUACCUACCGCACUCAACAUGGCUAAAGACAGCAAUAAUAAGGACCAGGAGCUCAGAGAGAUAAUAAAGACCGGCAAAUUUAUGCCUUUUGCUAUUCGUGAAUGCUAUACUCAGUUUAGAAACAUCAUUAAGUCUUUGGUUGAAGGAGAGCGUGGGAAAGAAUAUAUAAAAGAUGGCAAUUUGUCAAGUAAAUUCAAGAUGAGUGCACUUCCAAUUCUGUAUGAUCACUUUGUUGAGCUCAUCAGAUGUCUGUUGGACAAUAAAUGAGAGGAUAGGAAGGAAGUUACGUCUCUCAUCCAAUGUAUUCUUGAAGUUGUCAGAGGACAAAUAAUCAUGGAAGAUAUAUGCAGCUGAUUUCGGACGCGGGGGCUCGCGGUUAUUGGCUUAGCACAAAUAGAGAAUAAAGAAGGUCACUAAAAGACAAAACAGGGGUACACUUUAUUUUAUUAUAUCUAUUUCGGUGGGGCAAGUCAAUUUGUUGACUCCUUAUCAGUGAAGGACUUCCCUUCUUGGGCGUACAAAAGAAACGUGUGGGGCCACGGAAGUCAGAUAAAAGGGCAGCAAAACAAAGGUUUUUGCCGCAUAUAAAAAGAAAAGAAAUUGAGGGUUUCUUUCCUUUAGCGAAGACCAAAGCAGCACAAAGCAAGACGUACAGUGACGCUCUUGAACGUGCGCAUGUUUUGCUUUGGGCUUGGACACACAGUAAUUUGUGUUGUGAGUUUAUUUCGUCCAAUUAA